rnacentral:rRNA from 1 species
AAUUUUUAAAUGAGAGCGACGGGCAAUAUGUACAUAUUUUAAUAUUAAAUCAUUAAAUUAAAUUAAAUAUAAUUACAUUUAAAUCCAAUUUCAUAUAAUUGUUACAAAUUAUAAUUCAUUAUAAAUAAUUUUAUUGUAAUCCAUUAUAUUCUUAAUUAUAAAUUACAUCUUGAUCUGAUUUAAUUUUUUAUUUAAAUUUUUAAAUAUUUUAUAUUUUUAUAAAAUAUUUUUAUAACGACGAUAUAUAAACUUUAAAUUAAGUAAAUUUAUUCGUGGAAUAUCAAUUAAUAAACAGAUUCCUCUAAAUAAACUAAAAUACCGCCAAUUUUUUUAAGUUUAAAAACUAAUUUACUAUUUUAGUUUAAAAUUUUAAUUUUUUAAUAAUAGGGUAUCUAAUCCUAGUUUAUAUUAAAAUUUAUUAAUUCAUAAUUAAAUAUUAAUUAUAUUUUUUAAAAUUAAAAUUUUACUUAAUAAUAAUAAAUUUAUAAUAAUUAAUUUAAUUUAUUAAUUAUUACUAAUAAUAUUUAAUUUAUUUAUUGUAUAACCGCAACUGCUGGCACAAAAUUAGUUAAUAAUUUUUAUAUUACUAAAUCUUAAUUUCUUAAAUAUUUAAAAUUAAAUACUAUAAAUAAUUUUUUAAUUUUUUAAAAAUUUUUUUAAAACUAACUAAAAAAUUUAUAUGUAAAAUAAAUCUAUAAUAAAUUUUUAAGUGAAAAUUCUUUUUCUUU